UGAGACCACAGAGGCAGGUAUACAACUAGAGAUUCACCAGUAGUGUAAAUAUGAAAAUCUUCAUAUAUUAGAGUCUGUGGUAUCUCAUGAAUAAGUCCAAUCAUAACAUUUCUUUGCCUGCUUUCUUAUUAUGUGACUAUAAAAAGAUGUCAACAGUGCAUUUAAAUUUUCCUGCAGAGAGGAAAUAUGCAGAUCACAAUGAAGGACAAGCUGUGAAACGCCUAGAUUCCAGAGCAACAGACUGUGAUCCAUUCCCAACAACCCCUCCCUACCGUCUGCCACCAGUUCCCUUAAAGCAGGAAUCAGAGCUAGACUGACUCAACUAAGGUAAGAAGUGAGGCUUCAUGUGAAAAAGACUACAGCUACAAAACAAAUUCUCAAAUAUAUGUAACGUGCUAAGAUUUUGAACUUGACCCAGAAGUUUGUGGUGUACACACAAAUAGAAAUAACAUGCACACAGUCAUAUAGCUAUGUUUAAAAUUCUUUUUAGUGCUUUCCAAUUAAAAGCAUAAAUUAG
ensembl:lincRNA